UUUGAACGCUGGCGGCAGGCCUAACACAUGCAAGUCGAGCGGUAGCACAGAGAGCUUGCUCUCGGGUGACGAGCGGCGGACGGGUGAGUACUGUCUGGGAAACUGCCCGAUGGAGGGAGAUAACUACUGGAAACGGUAGCGAAUAUCGCAUAACGUCGCAAGACCAAAGAGGGGGACCUCCGGGCCUCUUGCUAUCGGAUGGGCCAAGAUGGGAUUAGCUAGUAGGUCGGGUAACGGCUCACCUAGGCGACGACCCCUAGCUGGUCUGAGAGGAUGACCAGCCACACUGGAACUGAGACACGGUCCAGACUCCUACGGGAGGCAGCAGUGGGGAAUAUUGCACAAUGGGCGCAAGCCUGAUGCAGCCAUGCCGCGUGUGUGAAGAAGGCCUGAGGGUUGUAAAGCACUUUUAGUGGGGAGGAGGGUGUCUAGGUUAAGAGCUAGGAUAUUGGACGUUACUCACAGAAAAAGCACCGGCUAACUCCGUGCCAGCAGCAGCCGCGG
rnacentral:rRNA from 1 species